CCGCCCCCGGCGGCGCUGGCAGGAGUUGGGCCAGGGUCCUCUGGCAGCUGGUUGAACCUAGUUUUGUGUGCCGAGGCCGCAGCCGGAAGACCGGAAGCUGGGUCUGUGGCCGUCGGAAGGCCCCUCUGCUCACACUGUGCCGGUGGAUGUGACAUGGGCUGCUGGGCGCUUCCUGAGAGUGUGGUGGACGGAUUGCAAAGAAACAUAUCCAUUUAUGGUCAGUUUCCAUUUCCCAGGAAGACUGCUAGGACCAAUCAGAGAAACACCGUGGAAGAUAAACUGAAUUUAAGUACCAGAAACAGAUCAAAUGGCAGGGAAGAAUGUGGUUUUGGAAAGACAGAAUCGCCAGGCCCAGUCUCUGCCAAGUCUGAAUACACCAGUGACAAUGAUGUGACAAGAGUCUUAUUUAAACUUCUAAGAUGUUUGGGUCAUAAAGUCGAAAAGACCUAGAGGAAAGGAAAGUGGCAAGACAUGCUGCAUGUAAGCGGGAGAUGGAGGCUUUUCAAGGCG